rnacentral:lncRNA from 1 species
AGAGUUGGACAUGACUGAGCGACUGAAAUGAACUGAACUGAACUGAAGGAAACAUGUCCAGAAAAACUAUUUGUCAGACAUCAGUCCUUCUCAAGGUUGAAUGUGUAUAGAAACCAUUUUGGGGAUCUUGUUAAAAUGCAUAUGGUGAAUCUUCAGGUUUGCAGCAGGGCCUGAGAGUUUUUGCAUGUCCUGAAAGCUCCCAAGUGCAGAGGAUGCUGUUGGCCUGAUGCAUAGUUCGAAUAGUAAUGGUCUUAGGUAACUGCUAUUUCUAGUUACUGGCACAACUGCCUCCUUUCUGUAUCUGAUUUUAUGCCAGAGCAACAAUUUCAUAACAUUUGUGAGCUUUCAGUUACAUGUGAAGAGAAAAUCGUAGGAUGGAAAUGACCAAUAGCAGAUAGUCUACGUAGAAUCUCCAUUCAGUACUCGUUUCAGGUAUUUUCUUAGUUUGACCUUCCAAGGAUUUAAAAUAUUUGAGAAAGGGCUUACGACUCUCAAACUUUUCGUUGUUAAAAAGACUUUUAAAUACAGAAGGUGAAAUUUCUUCUGGCAUGCAAGGACGUCCCAUUGACUGACCAAGCAUUCUCAGUCCUUUGUUUAUGUUAAAACCUUCAUCAAAUUAGAGCACACCUGCAGUUCUGAACAGAGACACUAAGCAGAAGACUAGCCAAUCUAUGCUUCAGUUAAAAGUAAAGAAAUUUUAAAUGGUAGAGGAACAGUUAGAUAAAAGGAACGCAGCACAAUGGUUUAUAGAACUGAUGGGGCUUCAUAUGUGUGAAAAUUAAUGAAAAUCAUUAUAUUGUCACUAAUGAAAGAUUUGAAUGUCCCAAGUAGGUUCUUUGACUCAGGUUUUGUUGCUGUGGUUUUGGUAACGUUUUCUGUGCUUGGGGUUUAUUGAGCUGGAAAAUUUUUGACCAGUCUUUCUUCAUAUACUUCUCUGACCAUGUCUCUCCUUUGAGGUCUCCCAAGUACACAUGUAUUAGGCUACUGCAAUUUGUCCCAUAGCUUAAUGAUGUUCUGUUCUUUUAAAAAAUUUUUUUCUUUAUUUCAUCAAACUUGUUUUCAAGUUUAAUAAUUUUUUUUGGGUGGCAAUGUUUAAUCACCAUUAAUCCUGUUCAGUGUGAUCUUAAUCUCAGAAUCGUAGUUUCCCAAAGCAUGAAGACUAAAGUACCUUGUUUACCCAGAGGAGAUCUCUCCAGAUUGUGCUAAAGUACUCUGUCUUAUUGAAGAGUUUUAUUGGCAACAUGGAUGAAGUCAAGAAGAGCAAGCUUAUUAAAUGUUUAGCUGACACAGAAUGAGGAGAUUGCACUGAGUCAGCUGACAGGAAGAAGUUUCACAGAGACCGAGACAGGUUAGAAUGAUGAACUGAAAUGAACAAGAUGAAAUAUAGACUCCAUCGUUAAGUUUCAAGCAGUUAGAUGCACCAAAUAAGGGAAG